GUCCACGCCGUAAACGAUGAUAACUAGCUGUCAGGGGCCAUGGGCUUUUGGUGGCGCAGCUAACGCAUUAAGUUAUCCGCCUGGGGAGUACGGCCGCAAGGUUAAAACUCAAAGAAAUUGACGGGGGCCUGCACAAGCGGUGGAGCAUGUGGUUUAAUUCGAAGCAACGCGCAGAACCUUACCAGCGUUUGACAUCCCGAUCGCGGAUUACAGAGAUGUUUUCCUUCAGCUCGGCUGGAUCGGUGACAGGUGCUGCAUGGCUGUCGU
rnacentral:rRNA from 1 species